AGGACACCCCAGGCCUCACGUGUAUUCCAGCAAUCCAAGAGCAGCCAAAACGGGGAGGCCAUUAGGUCCAGAACCUCCCAGCGUGUAGCCCAGGGCCAGCUAUAUGCCUUGCUGGAGGAUGCAGGUAGCUGGCAUGUGAAUGAGGGAGCACAUUUCUGAGAAUACAGGAGCACCUCUGCAGGUUCACAAGAGAAAGCCUGGUGUCUGACGCUCCCUGUUGGAAAGACUUCACUGACCUUCCUUCUCCAUCUCAGAAGGACAAGGGCAUUUGCCUAGGUUUCUCACUCUACAAUACUCCAUGUCAGCAGCUGUAAGGCCCUGCUCCAACGUCCCUGGGAGUGAGAGGUUCCUGUCACUCGGCUCUGUGCUGAAUAACCCGCAGGCUUCCUCAUUCUCAAGGGCAGCGCUAUCUUAUAUCAAAAGACCCAAGAGACUGCAAGGCAAGAUUGUGUUAUGAGUCACUAGAGCAAGCCGUCUGACUCAGAAGUUACCUACGAAAGCUGCUUUCAAAUGUCGUAAACGCCCGACUUCCGAAGGAAACCGCAAGGUACAAGGAAGCUCUGUGCUUUCUAAGACAAGAGAGCUCAGGCUUUGAGUCCCUUACAGUUGGUUUUCACAUCUGUGGCCUCAUGUCUGUGGGUGGUCUGUGGAUAGAUGGACUAAAAUACUCAAGAAGGUUCCAGAAGGAAAACCACUAUCUUUUACUGGACACAUAGAGACUUUCCUUGUCACUAUUUCCUAAACAGUACAAUCUAUAGUGUCAAGAAAACAAAUGACAAUGAACACUGGCAAGGGUGUGGGGAAAGGGGAACUCUUAUUUCCUGCUGGUGGAAAUGUGAACUUGUGCAGCCAUUGUGGAAAUCAGUGUGAAGAUGCCUCAAAAAACCUGAAAACAGAGAUAGCACAUGACACAGCUCUCCCACUCUUACAUCUACACUGGAAGGACCCUAAGUCAACAUAUAUAGUACUUGCACAUCCAUGUUUAUUGCUGCAUUAUUGACAAUAGCCAGGAAAUGGAACCAUCCUAGAUACACACCAAGAUAUGAGUGGAUAAAGAAAGUGUGAUACAUAUAUACAAUGGAAUUUGUGUAGCUGUAAUGAAAAAUGAAAUUAUGACAUUUCCAGGCAAAUGAGUGCCACUGGAAAUCACUGUGUUAAGCAAAAUAAACCAGACUUAAGAAGGGCAAAAUGCUGAAUGUUUUCUCUCAUAGGCAGGACCUAGAUUUAAAGUCACAUACAUGCCUUGUGUGAUUUCUAUAACUAGAAAGGGGAAUAUUCAUGGGAAGAGAAGAAGAGAUCUUAAGGAGUAGUGUAAUAAGGAAGUAGAAGCUGGGCCUAACUGAAGGGAGAAAGGGAGCCAGCUGAGGGAGAGAAAUGAGCGUGCGACAGGGCAGUGGGGGAGUGGGACAAAUGAGAACACAUAGGUAGAAAAAAGAAUGAUAAAACCAUGCUCUGUGUGCUAAUCUAAAUUUUAGCUAAAAGAAAACAACUUGGCCUGACAACUAUUUACAUUGUAUCCAAUAUGUAAAUCACACAGAGAUGGUUUAAAUAAUUCUGGAGCAUGCAUGUAAGCUGUGUGCAAUGGUUAUUUUAUUGAUUGA